GACGAACGCUGGCGGCGUGCUUAACACAUGCAAGUCGAACGGUGAAGGGACCGGUUUUUGCUGGUUCUGGAUGAGUGGCGAACGGGUGAGUAACACGUGAGUAACCUGCUCCCUUCUUCUGGAUAACCGCAUGAAAGUGUGGCUAAUACGGGAUAUUCUGCGCCUGCUGCAUGGUGGGUGUGGGAAAGAUAUUGUUUCGGUGGGGGAUGGGCUCGCGGCCUAUCAGCUUGUUGGUGGGGUGAUGGCCUACCAAGGCGGUGACGGGUAGCCGGCCUGAGAGGGUGGACGGUCACACUGGGACUGAGACACGGCCCAGACUCCUACGGGAGGCAGCAGUGGGGAAUAUUGCACAAUGGGCGCAAGCCUGAUGCAGCGACGCCGCGUGAGGGAUGGAGGCCUUCGGGUUGUAAACCUCUUUCGCCAGUGAAGCAGGCCUGUCCCUUUUGUGGGUGGGUUGACGGUAGCUGGAUAAGAAGCGCCGGCUAACUACGUG
rnacentral:rRNA from 1 species